UUAAGCGACUAAGCGUACACGGUGGAUGCCCUGGCAGUCAGAGGCGAUGAAGGGCGUGCUAAUCUGCGAUAAGCGCCGGUAAGGUGAUAUGAACCGUUAUAACCGGCGAUACCCGAAUGGGGAAACCCAGUGUGAUUCGUCACACUAUCAUUAACUGAAUCCAUAGGUUAAUGAGGCGAACCGGGGGAACUGAAACAUCUAAGUACCCCGAGGAAAAGAAAUCAACCGAGAUUCCCCCAGUAGCGGCGAGCGAACGGGGAGGAGCCCAGAGCCUGAAUCAGCAUGUGUGUUAGUGGAAGCGUCUGGAAAGGCGCGCGAUACAGGGUGACAGCCCCGUACACAAAAGCGCAUGUGCUGUGAGCUCGAUGAGUAGGGCGGGACACGUGGUAUCCUGUCUGAAUAUGGGGGGACCAUCCUCCAAGGCUAAAUACUCCUGACUGACCGAUAGUGAACCAGUACCGUGAGGGAAAGGCGAAAAGAACCCCGGCGAGGGGAGUGAAAAAGAACCUGAAACCGUGUACGUACAAGCAGUGGGAGCACAGGUUUACCUGUGUGACUGCGUACCUUUUGUAUAAUGGGUCAGCGACUUAUAUUCUGUAGCAAGGUUAACCGUAUAGGGGAGCCGCAGGGAAACCGAGUCUUAACCGGGCGUUAAGUUGCAGGGUAUAGACCCGAAACCCGGUGAUCUAGCCAUGGGCAGGUUGAAGGUUGGGUAACACUAACUGGAGGACCGAACCGACUAAUGUUGAAAAAUUAGCGGAUGACCUGUGGCUGGGGGUGAAAGGCCAAUCAAACCGGGAGAUAGCUGGUUCUCCCCGAAAGCUAUUUAGGUAGCGCCUCGUGAAUUCAUCUCCGGGGGUAGAGCACUGUUUCGGCUAGGGGGCCAUCCCGGCUUACCAACCCGAUGCAAACUGCGAAUACCGGAGAAUGUUAUCACGGGAGACACACGGCGGGUGCUAACGUCCGUCGUGAAGAGGGAAACAACCCAGACCGCCAGCUAAGGUCCCAAAGUCAUGGUUAAGUGGGAAACGAUGUGGGAAGGCCCAGACAGCCAGGAUGUUGGCUUAGAAGCAGCCAUCAUUUAAAGAAAGCGUAAUAGCUCACUGGUCGAGUCGGCCUGCGCGGAAGAUGUAACGGGGCUAAACCAUGCACCGAAGCUGCGGCAGCGACGCUGAUGCGUUGUUGGGUAGGGGAGCGUUCUGUAAGCCUGUGAAGGUGGCCUGUGAGGGUUGCUGGAGGUAUCAGAAGUGCGAAUGCUGACAUAAGUAACGAUAAAGCGGGUGAAAAGCCCGCUCGCCGGAAGACCAAGGGUUCCUGUCCAACGUUAAUCGGGGCAGGGUGAGUCGACCCCUAAGGCGAGGCCGAAAGGCGUAGUCGAUGGGAAACGGGUUAAUAUUCCCGUACUUGGUGUUACUGCGAAGGGGGGACGGAGAAGGCUAUGUUGGCCGGGCGACGGUUGUCCCGGUUUAAGCGUGUAGGUGUGUGUUCCAGGUAAAUCCGGUUCACUUUAACACUGAGGCGUGACGACGAGGCACUACGGUGCUGAAGCAACAAAUGCCCUGCUUCCAGGAAAAGCCUCUAAGCAUCAGGUAACAUCAAAUCGUACCCCAAACCGACACAGGUGGUCAGGUAGAGAAUACCAAGGCGCUUGAGAGAACUCGGGUGAAGGAACUAGGCAAAAUGGUGCCGUAACUUCGGGAGAAGGCACGCUGACACGUAGGUGAAGUGAUUUACUCAUGGAGCUGAAGUCAGUCGAAGAUACCAGCUGGCUGCAACUGUUUAUUAAAAACACAGCACUGUGCAAACACGAAAGUGGACGUAUACGGUGUGACGCCUGCCCGGUGCCGGAAGGUUAAUUGAUGGGGUCAGCGCAAGCGAAGCUCCUGAUCGAAGCCCCGGUAAACGGCGGCCGUAACUAUAACGGUCCUAAGGUAGCGAAAUUCCUUGUCGGGUAAGUUCCGACCUGCACGAAUGGCGUAAUGAUGGCCAGGCUGUCUCCACCCGAGACUCAGUGAAAUUGAACUCGCUGUGAAGAUGCAGUGUACCCGCGGCAAGACGGAAAGACCCCGUGAACCUUUACUAUAGCUUGACACUGAACAUUGAGCCUUGAUGUGUAGGAUAGGUGGGAGGCUUUGAAGUGUGGACGCCAGUCUGCAUGGAGCCGACCUUGAAAUACCACCCUUUAAUGUUUGAUGUUCUAACGUGGACCCGUUACCCGGGUUGCGGACAGUGUCUGGUGGGUAGUUUGACUGGGGCGGUCUCCUCCUAAAGAGUAACGGAGGAGCACGAAGGUUGGCUAAUCCUGGUCGGACAUCAGGAGGUUAGUGCAAUGGCAUAAGCCAGCUUGACUGCGAGCGUGACGGCGCGAGCAGGUGCGAAAGCAGGUCAUAGUGAUCCGGUGGUUCUGAAUGGAAGGGCCAUCGCUCAACGGAUAAAAGGUACUCCGGGGAUAACAGGCUGAUACCGCCCAAGAGUUCAUAUCGACGGCGGUGUUUGGCACCUCGAUGUCGGCUCAUCACAUCCUGGGGCUGAAGUAGGUCCCAAGGGUAUGGCUGUUCGCCAUUUAAAGUGGUACGCGAGCUGGGUUUAGAACGUCGUGAGACAGUUCGGUCCCUAUCUGCCGUGGGCGCUGGAGAACUGAGGGGGGCUGCUCCUAGUACGAGAGGACCGGAGUGGACGCAUCACUGGUGUUCGGGUUGUCAUGCCAAUGGCACUGCCCGGUAGCUAAAUGCGGAAGAGAUAAGUGCUGAAAGCAUCUAAGCACGAAACUUGCCCCGAGAUGAGUUCUCCCUGAGACUUAGAGUCUCCUGAAGGAACGUUGAAGACGACGACGUUGAUAGGCCGGGUGUGUAAGCGCAGCGAUGCGUUGAGCUAACCGGUACUAAUGAACCGUGAGGCUUAACCU
rnacentral:rRNA from 1 species